rnacentral:misc_RNA from 1 species
UCUCCGUAGGUGAACCUGCGGAGGGAUCAUUACUGAGUGAGGGUCUCCGGGCCCGACCUCCAACCCUUUGUGAACCAAACUUGUUGCUUCGGGGGCGACCCUGCCGCUUCGGCGGUGCGGCGCCCCCGGAGGCCAUUAACCACUGCGUAACUAAGUCGUCGGAGUUUAAACAAAUUAAACAAAACUUUCAACAACGGAUCUCUUGGUUCGAGCAUCGAUGAAGAACGCAGC